GAGCUUGCUCCUGCCGGCGAGUGGCGAACGGGUGAGUAAUGCAUCGGAACGUGUCCUGUUGUGGGGGAUAACUGAUCGAAAGAUCAGCUAAUACCGCAUGAGACCUGAGGGUGAAAGCGGGGGAUCGCAAGACCUCGCGCGACAGGAGCGGCCGAUGUCUGAUUAGCUAGUUGGUGAGAUAAAAGCUUACCAAGGCGACGAUCAGUAGCUGGUCUGAGAGGAUGAUCAGCCACAUUGGGACUGAGACACGGCCCAGACUCCUACGGGAGGCAGCAGUGGGGAAUUUUGGACAAUGGGGGAAACCCUGAUCCAGCCAUGCCGCGUGCGGGAUGAAGGCCUUCGGGUUGUAAACCGCUUUUGUCAGAGACGAAAAGGGACGUACGAAUAAUACGUUCCGCUGACGGUAUCUGAAGAAUAAGCACCGGCUAACUACGUGCCAGCAGCCGCGGUAAUACGUAGGGUGCAAGCGUUAAUCGGAAUUACUGGGCGUAAAGGGUGCGCAGGCGGCUGUGCAAGACAGAUGUGAAAUCCCCGGGCUUAACCUGGGAACUGCAUUUGUGACUGCACGGCUAGAGUUUGUCAGAGGAGGGUGGAAUUCCGCGUGUAGCAGUGAAAUGCGUAGAUAUGCGGAAGAACACCAAUGGCGAAGGCAGCCCUCUGGGACAUGACUGA
rnacentral:rRNA from 1 species